rnacentral:miRNA from 1 species
UGUUUCCAUGUUGUUGAGUGAC